GCUCAAACUUCGCUGAAGAACGUAGCAAAUUAAUUAGUCGCAAGCUCGAAAUCGAAAAGCAUAAUUAUGCAAGUCGGCACGUCGAAAGUGCUUGCACAU
rnacentral:rRNA from 13 species